AAUCAUAAUGAAAAUGUAUAUAUAUAAGUUACCACUUAUGUAUAAGUUACUACUUAUGAAUCAUUAAUCUCAAAGUAAUUUUGAAAGAAGAAAUGCAAGCAAUUGUUGAAGAGUUAUCCACAGUGGAGUCAAGCUGUCUAAGGCUCGAAAGAAAGAUUGGCUCAUUGAGAUAUUUUCUUAGGACCAUGCAUGAAGUUGUAAGACUUGAUGAAGAGUGUUUUAGAAGAAAGACAAUGGAGUUUGAAGAAAGCAAAAUUGAAUUGAGGGUCCUUGAAGCAAGAAAAGAAGAACUAAAAAGAAGGUUGGAAGAAAUGCAAGGAUAAAGGUGCAUGGAGAUGUUUUUGUUCUUGAAGGUGUUCUUGUAUACCACCUUCAAGAAUGGUUUGAUUUGUAGAUGAGUCUUGGAGUAUUUGCAUUAAAGAAAUACAUGAAUCGAUAUGUAGAUGAUGAGUCUUGGAGUAUUUGCAUUAAAGAAAUACAUAAUCAAUGUUGAGUUACUUAGUUACAAGAAUUUUGAAACUAUGUAGAGUAUUUUUGAUUGUUUUUAACUUUGAGUUACACUGUUGAUUGAUCUGUAUUUGGAUUAUAUGUAAUGGUGAUUAAUGAGAUACUAUUUUGUUAAAGUUUCAUGUAAAUCAAUUAUGGUGCAUUUCGUCUUGUAUAUAUUUUGUGGGCCACAUAAUGAAAUGAAGAUGAUGUGAAGUUUUAUUUCACGUUUGAUAUAAUGAUGAUAAUUUGAAAAUGAAACUUGACACGUGAGAGUCACACGUUCGAAAUUCUCAACAGAAUCUCGAUGUUAGGGUUUUGCUUUCUCAAAUUUUCAACAGAAUCUCGAUGUUAGGGUUUUGCUUUCUCAAUUCGAGAAACUAGUUAGCGUUAUGUCGUUCAUUCACCUCGAUCGUUUCCCUCCAUGCUCGAGGAUUCUGAAAGACGAAAUCUCGGUUCAGAUUGCUUCCCAACAACAUCACCGUCAACAACAUCGCAACUCACUCGGACACAUAAAAUAAGGAUUUGUCAACAUAAAAUGGAUGAUUGUUUGGGAACCUCAUCUUUAGAAGGCCAUAACUAUGAUUCUUUCUACUGCUAAUGAUUCCAAAUGGCAAACUAGAUCUGCAUGCUUUCUUGUACAGGCACGCGUUCAUUCUCUCAACUUCAAAGAAACAAGAAUUUGGAGAACGGUUGAAAAGUUACUAGUAGACAUCCAAGUUAGGCAAGC